rnacentral:tRNA from 12 species
UGGGGGAUAGUUUAACGGUAGAACAGUGGACUCUGACUCCUCUAGUCCAGGUUCGAAUCCUGGUCCCCCAGCCA